UGCGACACCGUUUCGGUGAUCACACAGUUGGCGGUGACUUGAAGUGCCACGAACUGAAGCGACAUCAAAAUGGCACGAAAUCCACUUUUGAAAUUCCCGGCAGAAGGAAGUGAGAACACAAAUACACACACACACACACACACACACACACACACAGACCACCGGAGCCUGCAUGCUGUCAAUCACAAGCGCUGCUCAAUCGAAUUGAAAGGGACACGAAAGUGGUGCGAAAUUUUCAAUUCCCAUCCGUCCGUCCGGUGGGAGAGCGUGUUGGGAAGAGGGAAGAAGAGGAAGGUGAGUUCCUCGCUCGAAAGCAGCUUUUCCCAUUUCCAGUAUGCAAAGCGAGUCGCGAUCGCGAUGUUUGUGGCCAAACAAAGGCAUGAAAAAUCGCCCGCUUCCAGGCGGAAGCAUAAAUCCAAUCAAUGGUUCAUCAUCAAUUUUUCGCCAGCAUCCGCACGGACAAACACACACACACAUAUGGACCUUUCUACCCGUUUUAGGUUGCUUUGGGAAUAGAACUCUACAUGAUGUAAAACAAACAAACAUUCCAAAUUGGUGCACAAGGCCAACACAAUGGUCCAUCAGCGAAGCAUUAUGAUUUGUGAUAACAUUAAUCAAUGGAGACUCGCUUGAAUAUUAAACAAUGGAAUUAGUCCACACAAGAGGGGAGGAUAAUAUUCUCAUGGAUAAACUCCCGCCCCAAUCUCCCACAUCUUGACCAGCAGCUCCAUUGUUGACACGGGGCUCUUUGACCGGGCAUUAAGUCCAUCAGGAAGGGUCAAUUGUCACUAAAGCAUAAGUUGCUUACAUAAACACAACAGCCGCGCCAAUGUGACACUGCGUAAUCGAAUCGAAUAGAGCUGAGCCCGUUGGAAGGCCCGUUUCUUCAUUAGAAUUAAUUUCCCCAAUGCAUUCUUGCUUGAUAAGCAUUUGGAGGAUCUAGUGAGCCCGUGGCAUAAAAAAACUGUUCCCGAAUUAA